rnacentral:rRNA from 1 species
ACAGCAGUCGCCGCGGGAAUACCAGCACCUCGAGUGGUCAGGAGGUUUAUUGGGCCUAAAGCAUCCGUAGCCGGUUGCAUAAGUUUUCGGUUAAAUCUAUGCGCUUAACGUAUAGGCCGCCGAAAAUACUGUGCAGCUAGGGAGUGGGAGAGGUACACGGUACUCGAUAGGAAGGGGUAAAAUCCUUUGAUCUAUUGAUGACCACCUGUGGCGAAGGCGGUGUACCAGAACACGUUCGACGGUGAGGGAUGAAAGCUGGGGGAGCAAACCGGAUUAGAUACCCCUGUAGUCCCUGUCUCUUAUAC